CUGAGUACGGCGGAACACGUGAAAUUCCGUCGGAAUCCGGGAGGACCAUCUCCCAAGGCUAAAUACUCCCUAGUGACCGAUAGUGAACCAGUACCGUGAGGGAAAGGUGAAAAGCACCCCGGAAGGGGAGUGAAACAGUUCCUGAAACCGUGUGCCUACAAGUAGUUAGAGCCCGUUAAUGGGUGAUAGCGUGCCUUUUGUAGAAUGAACCGGCGAGUUACGAUUUGUUGCAAGGUUAAGCGGAAAAAGCGGAGCCGUAGCGAAAGCGAGUCUGAAUAGGGCGCAUAAGUAACAGGUCGUAGACCCGAAACCAGGUGAUCUACCCAUGUCCAGGAUGAAGGUAAGGUAAUACUUACUGGAGGUCCGAACCCACGCACGUUGAAAAGUGCGGGGAUGAGGUGUGGGUAGCGGAGAAAUUCCAAUCGAACUUGGAGAUAGCUGGUUCUCUCCGAAAUAGCUUUAGGGCUAGCCUCGAGGUAAAGAGUCAUGGAGGUAGAGCACUGUUUGGACUAGGGGCCCUUCUCGGGUUACCGAAUUCAGAUAAACUCCGAAUGCCAUGUACUUAUACUCGGGAGUCAGACUGCGAGUGAUAAGAUCCGUAGUCGAAAGGGAAACAGCCCAGACCACCAGUUAAGGUCCCCAAAUAUAUGUUAAGUGGAAAAGGAUGUGGGGUUGCUUAGACAACCAGGAUGUUGGCUUAGAAGCAGCCACCAUUGAAAGAGUGCGUAAUAGCUCACUGGUCGAGUGACCCCGCGCCGAAAAUGUACCGGGGCUAAACAUAUUACCGAAACUGUGGAUGAACCUCUUUAGAGGUUCGUGGUAGGAGAGCGUUCUAAGGGCGGUGAAGUCAGACCGGAAGGACUGGUGGAGCGCUUAGAAGUGAGAAUGCCGGUAUGAGUAGCGAAAGAAGGGUGAGAAUCCCUUCCACCGAAUAUCUAAGGUUUCCUGAGGAAGGCUCGUCCGCUCAGGGUUAGUCGGGACCUAAGCCGAGGCCGAUAGGCGUAGGCGAUGGACAACAGGUAGAGAUUCCUGUACCAGUGCUAAUUGUUUAACCGAUGGGGUGACACAGAAGGAUAGGGAAUCGCACGAAUGGAAAUGUGCGUCCAAGCAGUGAGUGUGAGAAGUAGGCAAAUCCGCUUCUCGCGAAGCAUGAGCUGUGAUGGGGAAGGAAAUUAAGUACGGAAGUUCCUGAUUUCACGCUGUCAAGAAAAGCCUCUAGGAAGAGUAGUACUGCCCGU
rnacentral:rRNA from 1 species